GUGCCAGACUCCUACGGGAGGCAGCAGUGGGGGAUAUUGCACAAUGGGGGAAACCCUGAUGUAGCGACGCCGCGUGAGUGAAGAAGUAUUUCGGUAUGUAAAGCUCUAUCAGCAGGGAAGAUAAUGACGGUACCUGACUAAGAAGCCCCGGCUAACUACGUGCCAGCAGCCGCGGUAAUACGUAGGGGGCAAGCGUUAUCCGGAUUUACUGGGUGUAAAGGGUGCGUAGGUGGCAUGGCAAGUCAGAAGUGAAAGCCCGGGGCUCAACCCCGCGGACUGCUUUUGAAACUGUCAAGCUGGAGUACAGGAGAGGUAAGCGGAAUUCCUAGUGUAGCGGUGAAAUGCGUAGAUAUUAGGAGGAACACCAGUGGCGAAGGCGGCUUACUGGACUGUAACUGACACUGAGGCACGAAAGCGUGGGGAGCAAACAGGAUUAGAUACCCCAGUAACG
rnacentral:rRNA from 1 species